CCGCCAUAUCACGUAGAAACAUUGGUUCUCGGACGAUCACCGAAGUUAAGCAACGUCGAGCUUGGUCUAUCUAGAUGGAUGACUACUUGGGAAUACCAGGUGCUGUAAG